AGGACGAAACGCUGGCGGCGUGCUUAACACAUGCAAGUCGAGCGGAAAGGCCCUUCGGGGUACUCGAGCGGCGAACGGGUGAGUAACACGUGAGUAACCUGCCCCUAGCUUCGGGAUAGCUCCGGGAAACCGGAAUUAAUACCGGAUAUGACCACGGCCGACAUCGGCCACGGUGGAAAGAUUCAUCGGCUAGGGAUGGGCUCGCGGCCUAUCAGCUUGUUGGUGGGGUAACAGCCUACCAAGGCGACGACGGGUA
rnacentral:rRNA from 1 species